GGCAGGGUGAGUCGACCCCUAAGGCGAGGCCGAAAGGCGUAGUCGAUGGGAAACAGGUUAAUAUUCCUGUACUUGGUGUUACUGCGAAGGGGGGACGGAGAAGGCUAUGUUGGCCGGGCGACGGUUGUCCCGGUUUAAGCGUGUAGGCUGGUUUUCCAGGCAAAUCCGGAAAAUCAAGGCUGAGGCGUGAUGACGAGGCACUACGGUGCUGAAGCAACAAAUGCCCUGCUUCCAGGAAAAGCCUCUAAGCAUCAGGUAACAUCAAAUCGUACCCCAAACCGACACAGGUGGUCAGGUAGAGAAUACCAAGGCGCUUGAGAGAACUCGGGUGAAGGAACUAGGCAAAAUGGUGCCGUAACUUCGGGAGAAGG
rnacentral:rRNA from 1 species